rnacentral:rRNA from 1 species
UACGGAGGGUGCAAGCGUUAUCCGGAUUCACUGGGUUUAAAGGGUGCGUAGGCGGGCAGGUAAGUCCGUGGUGAAAUCUCUGAGCUUAACUCAGAAACUGCCAUGGAUACUAUUUGUCUUGAAUAUUGUGGAGGUAAGCGGAAUAUGUCAUGUAGCGGUGAAAUGCAUUGAGAUCGGAAAGAACACCAACGGCGAAAGCACUCUGCUGGGCCGACACUGACACUGAGAGACGAAAGCUAGGGGAGCAAAUGGG